rnacentral:siRNA from 1 species
CUGGAACGGUGCUGGUUGCCACA